rnacentral:lncRNA from 1 species
CUGAGGUCUGCAACCCAGAUAUCCUCACUCCAGUGCAGUCCUGCCAACAUCCAGGAGGAGAUUCUUCCUAUCAAGCCAUUUUACUACAGUUUUAGAUUCACAGGCAAUGCAGAGUCUAGACACAUCCUGAAGUUUUGCACUGGACCACUUCACUGCUUUCUCCAUGAAAAUCCCUCCAUCUGGGGACACUCUGCCCUCCCCUUUGUUUGAGACUCUCCGCAGAGAUUUCCAAAUGGAGGUACUGAUAUCUGCUCAGUGAGAUGCCCUGAGACCUGCUGCUGAAAGGCACUGUGUGAGAUCCUGCUU